ACUCCUACGGGAGGCAGCAGUGGGGAAUAUUGCACAAUGGGCGCAAGCCUGAUGCAGCCAUGCCGCGUGUAUGAAGAAGGCCUUCGGGUUGUAAAGUACUUUCAGCAGUGAGGAAGGUGGGUAUGUUAAUAGCAUACUCAUUUGACGUUAGCUGCAGAAGAAGCACCGGCUAACUCCGUGCCAGCAGCCGCGGUAAUACGGAGGGUGCGAGCGUUAAUCGGAAUUACUGGGCGUAAAGCGCAUGCAGGUGGUUUGUUAAGUCAGAUGUGAAAGCCCGGGGCUCAACCUCGGAAUUGCAUUUGAAACUGGCAAACUAGAGUACUGUAGAGGGGGGUAGAAUUUCAGGUGUAGCGGUGAAAUGCGUAGAGAUCUGAAGGAAUACCGGUGGCGAAGGCGGCCCCCUGGACAGAUACUGACACUCAGAUGCGAAAGCGUGGGGAGCAAACAGGAUUAGAUACCCUGGUAGACUCUGC
rnacentral:rRNA from 1 species